GCUGGGGUGGCGAAAUUGGUAGACGCGCCAGCCUUAGGAGCUGGUCUCGCAAGAGGUGGGAGUUCGAGUCUCCCCCCCAGCACAA
rnacentral:tRNA from 1 species